CAUUGCCCCUUUAACCAGGUGUGUUCCUUUGGUGUGUUGCUUGGUGUCGCUCCAUUCCGUGGCAGAGAUGGGGAGCUCAGCUGCAGGAAGGCUGCUUGGCCCAAAGCAUCUCAGAGCCAGCAAGCCUCGACUGAGCAGCUAGCUCCACCGUUGGCUUUUCUGUACCUAAAUACACCACGAGACUGCUUUAAUGGACCAACUUCCCACCGCUUCACUCUCUGUAGGACUUCAGGAAAAAAGAACCUGGAGCUCCCCAUGCAGUUUCCCCGCUUGUAUAAUUGCAAUAAACUCAUGCAAAUGUCAUUAAUAAGUGUUUUGUGCUCCAAUAAUAGCAGCGUUAUGCCAGUGUUGUGCGUUGGCAUUAUUUAUUAUCUCGGAGCUAAUGGGACGCAAUAUAAAAAGCGUGGCGUGAUUUUGGAAGCUGAAGGCGUGCCGCGUUUCCUGAUGACAGUGUGAAUGCUUGUGGCUUUUUGAGGCAGCUCGAGAUGUGGGAUUUGUCCUCUGCAGCAUGCUGAUGAGGAACCCUUCAUUGUUCCUCCAAGCGAGACUCAUCGGGCGGUAGGUGCUUUGUAUUAGCCUAGGAGGUCACUGGAGAAAUCUGAGAAAAUAGCUGGUGUAAAUUUGUGGUUUCAGCACUAUUAAGAAACUGUUGACAUGUCGGGAAUAGCAUUUCAGGGUGUAAAUGCAUGAGAAAGGCAGUAGGGAGACACUUGAGCUGCAAAAGCAUUUUAGCCUUGCAAGUCUAGAGCAUCCCGUCGUUCACUGAAGAGCAUUUUGAAUCCAGAAGGAAAUUGUGAACAUCUGAGUUUUCAUUCCCUCUCCGUUCCUUCUCCUCCAGCUCUUUCUCAAAGCAGGUCAGCACUCAGGCCGUGAAACAACCUUACUCGUACCUGGGCUCUACGGUCUUGUUGCAUCUCACAGACUGAGCGGUGCUGGGCUUGGUCUGCUCCUUGAAUAGGAGGCAUCUGGGCAUCUCCCUGGGCGCAGGGGAAGCGUUCAGCCCCACGUUGACAGCAAAGGUAGCAAGUUUUGGAUGCCCUGCAAAGGGCUGUGAACCUGAAGGUCUGCUCUGUUUAACCAGGUUGCUGCAAUAUUUUGCAUUUUUAGCUCAAAAAUAUUUCAGAAGUGCACAAAUGGCUUCACCCCAGGCUUGAGUUGGAUGCUUUUGACUUACAGACUUCAUUUUUGAAGCUGAUAGUUCAUGACAUUAUUUGUGUCCCUCUACUCCAGGGGCUUCAUUGGCCACAGGCUGGUCCUGAAUCCUCUUAUGCAGUAAAUUGGCUUCCAAAAAUGAAAAUAUGUAAUGAUAUUCUAGAAAAUGCAACCCCCUAUACUGUAAUUUUAGAUAAUUAAAUACAUCCAUGAACAACUGAUUAUGCGGACUACAACUAUUCGAACAUGACAGUCUUAUUAAGUAUGGAUUGUAAGUAGUCUCUCGAGUUUAAACCAUCGCAUA
rnacentral:lncRNA from 1 species